GCCGGGGUAGCGUAGCCAGGUAACGCGCGAGCCUGGAGCCGGUGCUGGAUAGCUCGUGGUCCUCUUGGGCCGCAGGGGUUCAAAUCCCCUCCCCGGCG
rnacentral:tRNA from 1 species